rnacentral:rRNA from 1 species
AUUGAACGCUGGCGGCAUGCCUUACACAUGCAAGUCGAACGGCAGCACGGGGGCAACCCUGGUGGCGAGUGGCGAACGGGUGAGUAAUACAUCGGAACGUGCCCGGUAGUGGGGGAUAGCUCGGCGAAAGCCGGAUUAAUACCGCAUACGACCUACGGGUGAAAGCGGGGGAUCGCAAGACCUCGCGCCAUCGGAGCGGCCGAUGUCAGAUUAGGUUGUUGGUGGGGUAAAGGCCCACCAAGCCGACGAUCUGUAGCUGGUCUGAGAGGACGACCAGCCACACUGGGACUGAGACACGGCCCAGACUCCUACGGGAGGCAGCAGUGGGGAAUUUUGGACAAUGGGCGAAAGCCUGAUCCAGCCAUGCCGCGUGCGGG